rnacentral:misc_RNA from 1 species
AAGUCGUAACAAGGUUUCCGUAGGUGAACCUGCGCGUAUCCAACGUAAAAAACCCCCCUGUGAACAUUCAAACCUGCUCUCGUAGCCCAGUGCGAUCCAGCAAUCCCGGUAAAUCAACAGUAUUGAUUCGGGACUUCUGACAAAUGAGAAGUUACAGUUACGAUGCUGCAUGGCAUCCCGAAGCAGUCAGUGUCUGAAAGUGUCAUUGAUUGUCUAAGGAUCUCGCCUCAACGAUUGCCAGAGGUCACCGACCGGCAGACAUGCAACCGGGUCCCCACGCCCCUUUACAACCCGCGGGAAACUAGCGGCUAAAAAGCCUAGAACAACUGUUAACAAUGGAUAUCUUGGUUCUC